UAAAUUUCUACCCUUCAGCCCUACUCCCCUCGGCCUCCACGCCCCUCCUCCCCUUGACCUCGGUUCCCUGGUUUCUCAAGGGGGUGGGGAGUGUGUGUGUGUGUGUGUGUGUGUGUGUGUGUGUGUGUGUGUUUAAAACGUCCAGGAUUGAGGAGGGGCCGGGCCCAGCGGAGACUCCGGGCCCACGGCUGCCAUGCUCCAGUGCAGACAGACAAUCGGACGGGGUAAGCCGGGGCGGGCUGCUUUCCCCGCUGUCCUUGAGUGUUGAGUGGCUGUCUCUCUGUCUCUCUGUCUCUCUCUCCUUCUCUCUCUCUCUCCCCCCACCACCCUCCCCGCGGGAUCCCCCAGGGAUCGGGCACACAAGGCCUGCCAGGUCGGGAGGUCCACUGAUGUCUGUCGGGAAAGGUAGCCGAGGACGGGCUCUAACGAGGUGCUGGGAUAUCCAUGGGAAGGGAGCCGGAGCCCUCAGGAAUCUUGUCUUUAUGUUUGCUUCCUCAAUUGAGCUGCACAAAGCCUGAAUUGCCCAUUCAGCGCGGCCGGACAAAAGGCUGGCGUUGCACGGUCCCCUUGCAUUUGUAGUCAAACAGUUAGGGACUUAAAUCGAGUCGUCGUGAUGGAGAAAGAGGUGGACAAAGCCCAUAGAAUUGCCAUCAGCAAACAUUUUCCUGUGUCAUAUUAGCCAGUCUCCAUGGCACCCCCUGGCCUGGGGACAAUGGCACAAGUUUGCACACUUGGCUACUGUCACCGUGCCAACGCCGGCAGGGCUGCAAGCAGGGCCACUCUGAGCGAGCAAGGAGCCCAGAGCCGGCGCUGGCCCUGCCCACCACUGGCCGGAGGGAAGGUAGCUGCUGCCAGGACGAGGCACCUGCCCACGGUGGCCCGAAGGCAAGCCAAGUCCCUUCCGGCCUGAGGGUCCCUACAGGCAAAACGAAGGGUUUGGAGGAGGUGGCCCUGUGCUGACAAGCUGUGACGCAAUUUAGGCCUUGAAGAGCCAGUGCGGUAUUUUCCAUGCCCCUUUCCUGCCGCAGGGGAGAGGGCGUGUGGAUUCAGAUGGGUGCGGCAAAGGUGCGGAGCACCCUGGAGUGUUGGCCGCCGCGCGCUCUGGAGAGCUGUCCCCAUGUGCAGCAGCCUCUGCCCGGCGAGAGCCGAGCCUUCGUUGUCGGGGCUUCUGUGUUUCUGUGGCAUGUCCCAGCCCACCAGACUGGCACAGGCAGGAAACGUCCUUCCUGAUCCAAACCACCUGGUGCACGCUGCUGGCCCACGGUCGCCAGGGUGGGCUCCUGCCCAUUCCCCCCAUGGCUCCCUGCUGCCCCCCGCGUGCGGCUGGUGGGCACAACGGCCCGGCACUGGGAUCCUUCCUAGCUGCCUGCUUCCUGCACCCCGCUCGUCCCCCGCUGGCCUUCUGCACGCCGCGUCUGGGCCUGCCGGUCCCUCUCUCUCGAACAUGCCUCUCCUGAGGGCGUCCAGCCCCUCGGCUCAGAUCUCCGCUUCCUCCAGAUGCCAUCGCACCUGCGGUCGUGUCACCCCCUGCUCAUGGCGACCCCUCCGGCAGGCCGGGGGCUCCAUGGGAGUCUACCCUGGUGUCUUAAGGAAGUCUCGCCAUAGCUCAUAACAGGGGCUGUUGUUUCACCAAACGCUUUCUGAGUUAAGAAGGAAGAAGAGGGAAGAGAAGACGAAAGGGGGGAGGGAAACGGGAUGGACGGAGAAAGCUGACACCUGUCGGGCAUCCCCUCUGUGCGGAGAGCCGCGCUGCAUGAUCUCGCGGGGAAGACCCGCCAGGCCCUCCGGGCGGCUCCGCGAGGGUGGUGCUGCUGCCACUAGCCCACGAGGGACGUGAGUCACCCUCCCACGGCCGCGAGGCUAAUAACUAGCAGAGCCGGAACUGGAAGCCAGGCCGCCUGCGAGCACAGCCCGUGCGGGACUCGCCACCCGGCCGCCGCCGUGAGCUGGCGCGGAGGCCGGGCGCCGCCCCAGCGCCCUCGGCUCUGAAGGCCUCGAAGACCAGACUUCCCGCACGAGUCCUGGGGCUGCUCUUCUCUCCCAAGGUCAAGGCGUGACGGCCAACUUCCCACUGAGGAACUUGGGAGCCUCAGCUUCCGGAGGUCGGGAGAGAGGGUCUUACUGACUCAAGGCACAGAGGCCUGAGAACCUGAUCUAGUGGCAACGACACCACACCCAGGCCUCGGGCCAGGUUUCCGGGGCUGCCUCUGACCCACGGUGGGGCGGGGGGCUCCUCCGAGCUUUUCCGACAGGCCAUACAGACAGGUGGAACGCCAGCAGUAAUAAUAAUUUUGCCUCCCUCUAGAGAGCCCUUUCCCAGUUGCUCUCUCAUUAUGGUCCCAUGUCUGGGUGGGGAGGGAAUUAUUUUCCGUAUUUACAAUUGUUGACACAACCAUAGAUGCCUCAAACUUCUGAUUCCUGGGCCCAACUCAGCCAUCCCUGUCUUCUUGGCGUCCUUCAAGGCCCAGCUCAAACAGCCCCUCCUCCAGGAAGACUUCCACCAACCCCCAGCAUUACUAGCGACACCCUCUCCCAUCCCUGUGUUCGUAGAGUCGAGGAUGAAAUCUAACCCCCUCAGACAGAACACAGAAGGCCCUUUAUAAUCUGACCCCCUACCACAACCUGGCACAGAGUAGCUUCUUACCAAAUGUUCUAUGAAUUAAAUACUUUGCCCCUUCCAGUGAACUAUGGACUAGAAACAGCUGCUUCCUGGCUUGGGUUUUUUGUUUAUUGUUUGGCCCCAAACCCCACCCAGGUGAGCUCCAGGAGAGGAGGGAGCUUGUCCUCAGGUUCAUCUCUGUAUCUCCAGUGACUAGAAUGGUCCCGGCCAGAGCAGGCCCCAGUGAGAGACCUCGCAGUGCCGUGGCUGCACUUGGUGAGGAAGUGUCUAUGGUCCUACAGAUAUGUGGCUCUCGGAAGCUGGACACACCCCUUCACGGCUGACCCGCCCAGCACCGGAGCAGGGGUUCCAUAAAGCCCUAAAAGGCGAGUGAGCUCUGCUGACUUGAACCGAACUGGAUUGGGGUGGGCGGGGGUGGCUGACCUCCCCUUCCCGCCCAGCUGUUGCUGCCAGGACCCCCCAGACCCAGCUGUGCUGACCCUGCCUCAAGUUCAUCGGACCCUCCAGCCUCGGGCACCUGCUGCUUCACAUCAACGCCCGCAGCACCUGCUAUGUGCUGGGGACCGGAGGGUGCGGAGGUGGCGUCCCUGCUUUGCCUUUGCUGACCGAACAGCCAUCUUACCCCCGCACAUCAGUGGAGCAGAACAACAUCCGAACAGACCGUCACCCAGAACCUCUGGGCACCCCCAGACACGACCCACUUCCGGGGUUUGGCCUGGAAUGUGUGUAGACUGGAACUGCAAGUGAGAAAAGGCAGUUGGCAGGGGCGUUCCCAGGCCAAGCCCGAGGGGACCCGAGGAGGUCAUCUGGGGCAAGGGGUUCUCAAAUUUCUUUUAAGCAGAGAAACCCAUGUAAAAAUGUUUGGAAGUCCAACGUGUAAAAUUGUGACAGCACAGUGCUGUGAGUACAAAUUUGUUUUGCACAUUCAGAUGCAUACGUUCUACUUGUUUUGCAAACAGCAGAUUAGGACAAGGAGUCUGUUUUGAUGACAUAAACCUUUGAAAUCAGGAAUUAUGGAUUAUGGUCUCAAAUCAACCGCACUGUGCUUAGGUUGCAGAACAUUUAUAAAGUCUUGACUUAUAGACAUAAGUAGCUGAAAUGGUAGUUUUUUUCAAAGUUUAUAUUUUGAUCUUAGGACAGUCAUCAAUGAAAAGGAAUCUCAGGAGAAGCUUUAUUACCUGGUCCCCAGAGGGGUUCACCUGACCCCCGAGGUGACCUGCCGGCAGCCCAGUGUAACAGCGGUGAGUUAAAAUGCACUUGAAUGUGAGUCUGUUUGCUGAUACAGUUUUUAGAGCAUAAUGUUUUAAAUGGCCAAAAAUAAGUUUUACAGGAGAUUUAACAUUUUCUGACCUCUACAGAAAAUUCAGUUCCAAAAGAUAGGCCAACUUCUCAUUUCAGAGAUGGAAAAAGAGAGGCGCACAGAGGGCCAGUGAUUCAGGGCCGAGUGGACGGAGGACCCAGGGCUGUACGGUUCCGCCUAGUAAGCCCAUUAUACAGAGGAGGAGACUGAGGGACCAGCCCGGCAGAGAUGCGCCAGCCCGGAGAACAGUCGGGAGUGUCAUUUACAAACUUCAUAGGCAUGCCCGAGUCACCCCUCAAGGGCCCCAUCACCUCAGCCAACACGUCUGAAGUGUAGAUGUGCCAGGUAAACUGAGGCAGCGUGGGACAGUGGAUAAGGGCUGGGUUCUGGGGUCCACAGGACCUAGCCUCUCCAUGUGGCUUCUUGGCUUCUCCACAACAUGGUGGCUGGGCUCGGUGCAAGCAUCUCAAGAGACAGGAAGUGGGAGCUACCAGUUGCUUAAGACCACGGCCCAGGAACUGGCACCAUGUCACUUUCAUGGUAUUCUCUUGGUCAAGCACUCACCAAGCCCAGAUUCCAGAGGGACAUAGGGACAUAGAUCCUGCCUGUCAAUGGAAGGAGGGCGUGUCAAAGAACUCUGAGGUCAUGUUUUAAGACUGCCACAGUCUGUGACCUCAGGCAAGUGGCUCAGUCUCUCAGGAUCCCAGUUUCCUCUGUAAAAUGGGCGCGGUGGUAGCCACUUCACAGGGUUGCUGUAUGAGGCGAUACCCACAAAAGCCGAGCUCUCAGUAAGGUGCAAAAUCAUGACUUGAACACAGCCCCUCAUGGCUCCACAGUCAGCACCCUGGUACCACCCACACAUCAAGCUGGGGCAUGCUCACUGUCCCUUCAAGGCCUGGGACAACGCUGGGAGGACAGUUUGGCUGCAAAGUCCAGUUAGGAAGUGGGCAAGCCCCUUGGGGGUCAGUGGGCUCAGAGAGCAUUGUUUGGUGGCUAGUUGAAUGGGGGCCAUAACUUCUCCUGCGAAAACUAUGCUUUUUGUCUGUGAGGUUACUCUAGGCCUGAAGGUCCUGUCAGCUGACUUAUUCCUGUCUUGUCCACCUGCCAGGACCCCACUGUCUCCUGUGAGUCUCUUUUCUCCCACAGACACCUUGAGCCACAGUCAGAGAUAGAAGGGACCUCGGACACCGAGAGGAACACUGUGGGGCAGGAGAGAGAGCCGCUCGGGAGGCACAAACCUGGCUUCAGCUCUGCUGCUCGCCGGCUGGGUGGCCACGGGCAAGUCACUUAACCUCUCUGACCCUCAGCCUCUCCCCCUGCCGGGUGGCACCUGCCCGCCACGUCCUUGGAGGAGGCCAAGGUAACACCACAGAGUGUGUGGCCCGGCACUUCCUUUUGUGAGAGCUGUGGAAGUGCAGCUCGCCCAACCCCCUUAUUAAUCAGAUGAGGAAACUGAGGCCGGGAGGUGGACAGGCUUGCCCAAAGCAACCUGAUGAGCUACUGGUAUGGACAAGAGUCCUGACCCCAAGACCAGUGUGUUCUUUCCCGCUCUUCCAAACCCACUCUCCCCGCACCCUGAAGGAGAAAGUGCAGGAUUCUCCUCUGAGUGCUCGGCCUUGGCCUCACAUGGCCACGAGAGGGAGCCCUGCAAUUGCUCAGGGCCUCUCUCAGGCAAAGGAUUCUUUCAUCCUGUCUGCACCGAGGCUGCCCAGGCCAGCGGCCUGUGCCCCGCCCCCGCCAGCCCGUGCAAGGUAUUCCAGAUCCCUGCACCUCCGCCUUCCCACCUCCGCCCUCCACCACCCUUCCCUGUCCCCAUCCCAGAAUUGUCCUUUUCCUUGUUCUUGUCCUUUCCCCAAGCAUGGCUGGGAUCCCCAAAAAUCCCAUGUUGUCUUUGCAGAGCAGGUGGCCCACAUUUGCGACUCUCCUGCUCACUUUGGCUUCAGGAUUACGGUGACACUGUUCUGUUAUCUGUGAGUGUCCACUCACAUUCCUGUCCCUCUGUUCCACAGACAUCUCAGCACCUGCUGGCGGGGUGGGGGUGGGGGCCGGAGGCCAGGCCGGGAGGUGGAGGAGGCGGGAGAGGUCUGAGGAUCCUGCAGACACAGCCCCUGCUCUCGAGGAGCUCACAGCGCCCAGUGUGGCGGGGAGAUGGUGCAGUCGCCACACACGGUGACAGGACACGGCGUGUUGGUCGGAGAGUCCUAAAAGAUGCAAAGCAUUUGGCCGGGUGAAUAGGCCUGCAGGUCCUAAGAAGCCACGAGGGAAGACCUCUGGGGCAGGGGUGCUACCUGGGGGAGCGCCCACUAUCUGGACAGUUUCCGCAUCUGCAAGUGGGACAAAUAACACCUCCGCUGCCUCCUUCGUGGAAGAAGGACCGUGUCAGCGCGUGCACAUGGAAGCAGGUUGGAAACUCUAAAACACCUGCCCACAUGGGGGUGUGCUUUAGCAGCAGUAUUUCCAUCUGUCCCCAGGCGUUGCUGGCCUUGGGCCACACCCAGUGAGCCUUCAGUCCGCCUUCAGCACCCAAGUUCCUGUCCCGAUCUUCUUGCAGACACAUUUUCGAGACCACUCGGGUGGCUAGGUCAGUAAUGAGAGUCCCUGUGGGGCUCCCACGGCCUCCGAUCAGUGACUGAGCCUCCAGGGCCUCCCGCCCCUCUUCCCUAGCUGGGCUUUCCUGUGAGUCAUUCCAGGGUCCUUGUACAGGCCCAUUAGGAUAAAAACAGGAAGGAAGGCCAGCAAGCCCUGACUGAGGCCAUCCCUGGGCUCUUAGAAGACUAGAGUCUGUGAAAACCACCUGUGGGACCUGCCCCGGCACCCAGGGAGUGCCAGCCCGAAAGCCCUCGGAAUCUGGGUGAAUAGGGACUGCGGGAAUGUUGGGAAUGCCCCACUGUCCCUUCCUCCAGGUCUUUCUGGACAACACAAACAAACAGCUAUUUCCAAGUUGCAAUCUCCAAAUGCGAUCCUCCUGGUCUAGGGUGGGGCAGGGGUGGAUGAGAGGUGAGGACCCUGCAUGCUCCAGCCGCCCCCUCUGCGGGCCCGGGGGACCACUCCUAAUAUCUCAGAAAGCACGUCUAUGUUCCCAAACCCCUGACACUUGCAGGACAUAAGACUUUGUUUCAGAUUCUCUGGCCUCGCUGUGCAUAACCAAGUCUGUAAUUCUCUGGUUCUCCCCGGCAGAGAGCAUUCUCCAAGAAGAGGAUGGAGGUGCUGCCUUAGGAACCGCCUGGGAUCUCCUUAGGACUGGAAAUGUCUCCAGAAGCAAAUCAGCCUCUCUGGGGACUGGGGUUGGCCCCGGAGCCCCUCUGCUCCUAGGGGACCAAUGAGGGCCUGGACUCUGAGUCCAGGACCAAGGAUUUGGGAGAGGGACCUUCCCUCCCUGGCCAAGGGAAAGGAAGUGGGGCUACCAGCUGCUGCCCCAAGAGGCUGGAGGUUCGUAUACCUACCGGGUACCCUGUCCCAAUCUCUUUUCUCUGAAGGCUACCCUGACUAGCCAUUUUAGCCAGGUUCAGCUAAAUUUGAAGGCUGGGAUGAUCAGGUGUGUCGAAACAUUUUUCAGAAGUCUAAACCCCCAGUGCUGUCAAGCAUGUGGAGAAAUGUUAAUAGAUGCGCUUAUGCAUUGUUGAUGUGGGUGUAUAUUGCUAUCCACUCUUUGGAGGGUAUUUUGAUAGUAUCUAUUAAAAGGUGAAAUAGAGAUGUCCCCAGACUCAGCAAUUCCACUUCUAAGAGUCAAUUCUACAGAAAUAUGUGCACACAAGCACAAAGGGUUGUGCGUGAGGAUGUUUGCAGAAAUGUUGUUUGAAA